AUUGAACGCUGGCGGCAGGCUUAACACAUGCAAGUCGAGCGGAGAGAGGUAGCUUGCUACUGAUCUUAGCGGCGGACGGGUGAGUAAUGCUUAGGAAUCUGCCUAUUAGUGGGGACAACAUUUCGAAAGGAAUGCUAAUACCGCAUACGUCCUACGGGAGAAAGCAGGGGAUCUUCGGACCUUGCGCUAAUAGAUGAGCCUAAGUCGGAUUAGCUAGUUGGUGGGGUAAAGGCCUACCAAGGAGACGAUCUGUAGCGGGUCUGAGAGGAUGAUCCGCCACACUGGGACUGAGACACGGCCCAGACUCCUACGGGAGGCAGCAGUGGGGAAUAUUGGACAAUGGGCGGAAGCCUGAUCCAGCCAUGCCGCGUGUGUGAAGAAGGCCUUAUGGUUGUAAAGCACUUUAAGCGAGGAGGAGGCUACUUUAGUUAAUACCUAGAGAUAGUGGACGUUACUCGCAGAAUAAGCACCGGCUAACUCUGUGCCAGCCGCCGCCGUAAUAC
rnacentral:rRNA from 1 species